ACCUCGGGGUGUCCCUCACAGGGCUGAGACGCGCAAGCGAACCCGUUGAACCUGAACCGGCUCAUACCGGCGGAGGGAAGGUGC
rnacentral:ncRNA from 1 species